rnacentral:sRNA from 1 species
AGAAUUACCCCCUCUACAUUCGCAGCACCCCUACGGAGAACAAGCUGAAGUUUCACUACAUGGUGCAUACAUCUCUGGACGUGGUGGAUGAGAAGAUCUCCGCAAUGGGGAAGGCUCUGGUCGACCAGAGGGAGCUGUACCUGGGCCUGCUCUACCCCACGGAGGACUACAAGGUAUAUGGCUACGUCACCAACUCCAAGGUGAAGUUUGUCAUGGUGGUAGAUUCCUCCAACACAGCCCUUCGAGACAACGAAAUUCGCAGCGUAAGUCAGGGAGUUAGAAGGCCAUGCCCAAAUAGGUGUUUUGUUUUUCCUUUUUGACUUUGUUUUGAAACGCUGAGAAACCAAAAAUCUAGCAGUGUCUGUGUGUACGUGGCAAGGUCACGGUUUGCUGGGUCUUUUUCAGAUGUUCCGGAAGCUACACAACUCCUACACGGACGUGAUGUGCAACCCCUUCUACAACCCGGGGGACCACAUCCAGUCCAGGUGGGCCCUACUUUCUGUGUCCGCAUCCAGUCCGGGUGGGCCCUGCUUUCUGUGUCUUGCCGCCUUCUUUCUGUAGGACCUGCCUUGCCAUUUUGGUUGCCAAAAUGCAACCAUUUGGAAAAUAAGGGAGGAAAGGUCUUUUUAAGCUAUGAGCACUAUCCCCCUAGGGCGGAGGUUUUACAGCCACAAAGCCUUGUUUCUCCACACCAACUCUUACACAGAUCUCCAGCGCAUAAAGUGGAUAGAGUG